rnacentral:rRNA from 1 species
AAGUGUUAAGUCUUUAAUUUUGAAUCCUUAGCUUACUUUGUAAGUUAAGGCUAGAUUUAAACAAAAAUUAAAGAUUAAAUUAGUAUUGAAUGAAACUUUGUUUAUAUAUCGAUAAUGACGAUAUAUAUAUUAUGUCUUGACCAAUUACGUGCCAGCAGUCGCGGUAAUACGUAAGAGACUAGUGUUAUUCAUCUUAAUUAGGUUUAAAGGGUACUCAAACGGUUCUCUUCGCAUAAAAAGACUAGAGUUAUAUAGAAGAAGGUAGUACCUUAAGUGUAGAGAUUAUAUUUGGUCAUACUCGAGGGACUUAGAAAAGGCGUAGGCAACCUUCUAAGCAAUAACUGACGUUGAAGGACGAAGGCAUAGGUCACGAACAGGAUUAGAUACCCAAGUAGUCUUUGCAGUCAAUGAUGAAUGCCAUAGGUUAGAUAAAAAUUUAGUCUAUAAAUGAAAGUGUAAGCAUUUCACCUCAAGAGUAAUGUGGCAACGCAGGAACUGAAAU